rnacentral:rRNA from 1 species
UUGUGUGAAUACAUAGCACAUUCGAGGUAGACGCAGAGAACUGAAACAUCUAAGUACCUGCAGGAAGAGAAAGAAAAUUCGAUUCCCUGAGUAGCGGCGAGCGAAACGGGAAAAGCCCAAACCAGCAAGCUUGCUUGUUGGGGUUGUAGGACUCCAAUAUGGUAGUUCUUUCAGAUAGUCGAAUGACUUGGAAAAGUCAGUCAAAGAGGGUAAAAACCCCGUAGACGAAAUGUGGAAGACACCUAGGAGGAUCCUGAGUACGGCGGAACACGAGAAAUUCCGUCGGAAUCCGGGAGGACCAUCUCCCAAGGCUAAAUACUCCCUAGUGACCGAUAGUGAACCAGUACCGUGAGGGAAAGGUGAAAAGCACCCCGGAAGGGGAGUGAAAUAGAACCUGAAACCGUGUGCCUACAACAAGUCAAAGCCCGUUAAUGGGUGAUGGCGUGCCUUUUGUAGAAUGAACCGGCGAGUUACGAUUGCAUGCGAGGUUAAGUUGAAGAGACGGAGCCGCAGCGAAAGCGAGUCUGAAUAGGGCGUUUGAGUAUGUAGUCGUAGACCCGAAACCAUGUGAUCUACCCAUGUCCAGGUUGAAGGUGCGGUAAAACGCACUGGAGGACCGAACCCACGUACGUUGAAAAGUGCGGGGAUGAGGUGUGGGUAGCGGAGAAAUUCCAAACGAACUUGGAGAUAGCUGGUUCUCUCCGAAAUAGCUUUAGGGCUAGCCUCGGAAUUGAGAAUGAUGGAGGUA